rnacentral:lncRNA from 1 species
AGAAUUUUCAGCAAUAAAAUAUUGGCUUCAUAUACUUGAGUCAAAUAUUUCACUUUCCCUAAAAAUAUAUAAAGCAACUGAAAAAAAUAACUCUUGGAUAAUAAAUAUGAAAAAUCUUAUUUCAAGACUUGGAUUUCAUUUUAAUAAUCUAAAUCCUAUUGAUAUUAAAAUGUAUUUAAAACCCAUUCAAGAGAGAAUCAACGAUAUAGCCUUCCAGAAGCAAAAGACGGACAUCAAUCAAAAUAAAAAA